AGACCCAGAGAGAGGCAGGGUCUGAUCCGCAGCCUCAGUGGCAGCUGUUGAUCAGUACUUGCCUCUCUCUCUCCCUCUU
rfam:Myotis lucifugus cont2.22165, whole genome shotgun sequence.